rnacentral:rRNA from 1 species
AGGUGAGAUANGUCGUANCAAGGUGGGUGUAUCGGAAGGUGUACCUAGGAGUAGUAUA